ACAGUAAACUUAUUGUGUCGUCAAAGCAUUCCUACGAGAUGUACCCAUCGUUGGCGCAUGUCCAUGACAUAUGUGAAUAUCUAAUGGUUGAAUGGAGAACAGAUUUUAUGGUGAAUCUUGGGUGCAGCAGGCUUUCUGGUGUCCUUUCGUGGAUGCCUAAGGAGUACCCUUCGUGGACCCGGAUGAGGCCCGGUGCAAUGAUUCGCCGAACAUUU
rnacentral:snoRNA from 1 species